GAUGAACGCUAGCUACAGGCUUAACACAUGCAAGUCGAGGGGAAACGACAUCGAAAGCUUGCUUUUGAUGGGCGUCGACCGGCGCACGGGUGAGUAACGCGUAUCCAACCUGCCCACCACUUGGGGAUAACCUUGCGAAAGUAAGACUAAUACCCAAUGAUAUCUCUAGAAGACAUCUGAAGGAGAUUAAAGAUUUAUCGGUGAUGGAUGGGGAUGCGUCUGAUUAGCUUGUUGGCGGGGUAACGGCCCACCAAGGCGACGAUCAGUAGGGGUUCUGAGAGGAAGGUCCCCCACAUUGGAACUGAGACACGGUCCAAACUCCUACGGGAGGCAGCAGUGAGGAAUAUUGGUCAAUGGGCGAGAGCCUGAACCAGCCAAGUAGCGUGCAGGAUGACGGCCCUAUGGGUUGUAAACUGCUUUUAUAAGGGAAUAAAGUGAGUCUCGUGAGACUUUUUGCAUGUACCUUAUGAAUAAGGACCGGCUAAUUCCGUGCCAACAGCCGCCGCAG
rnacentral:rRNA from 1 species